AUGCUGCUGCAGAGGGAGCCUAAAUGUCUCUUCAUCACACUGUGGAUUCCCCCACCUGCCUCACCCAUAGCCACCUGCAGUAGGGCUGGGAUGGGGGAUCAGGCUAGCCAUAACCUCUUUAUUGAGGCCCAGGUUGCAGAUAGUGUGCAGAAUCAGGUUACCAAGUCGGAACUUCCUCAGAUAGCCAACCCCCUGCCGGCGAUCUCUGAGGCGGCGCCCCACUCUGUGCUGGUAGAGAGUGGGUCUGUGGUCUAUGAUGAUGUGGGAGAUAAGGAGGAUGAGGAAGAGCCCUGCGUCAGCGCCAUGCAGCUGUUGGGAGGCAACGAGUAUGGAUGUGUUGACGAUGAUGGAUUCUAGCACUACUGGGUCUGGCCUGUUUCUCUGGACUGUUGUGCUACUGUAUCAGCCCUCCGACCCCUGUCCACAGACUUACACAUGACGCAUGACUUGUAUGCUCUCAGGGAGGUUGGAGGUGAUGACGAGGGUCCGUUUCUCCUCAGGAUAUCUCCUGUAACUAUGAAAGAGGUUUUGGGUAGUAUUGUGCUGGAUCUAACAAAGAGACAUUAUGGUUAGUCUAUCUUCCUUCCUACAUUUCACAGGUCACUCAAGUACAGUGCCUUGCGAAAGUAUUCGGCCCCCUUGAACUUUGCGACCUUUUGCCACAUUUCAGGCUUCAAACAUAAAGAUAUAAAACUGUAUUUUUUUGUGAAGAAUCAACAACAAGUGGGACACAAUCAUGAAGUGGAAUGACAUUUAUUGGAUAUUUCAAACUUUUUUAACAAAUCAAAAACUGAAAAAUUGGGCGUGCAAAAUUAUUCAGCCCCUUUACUUUCAGUGCAGCAAACUCUCUCCAGAAGUUCAGUGAGGAUCUCUGAAUGAUCCAAUGUUGACCUAAAUGACUAAUGAUGAUAAAUACAAUCCACCUGUGUGUAAUCAAGUCUCCGUAUAAAUGCACCUGCACUGUGAUAGUCUCAGAGGUCCAUUAAAAGCGCAGAGAGCAUCAUGAAGAACAAGGAACACACCAGGCAGGUCCGAGAUACUGUUGUGAAGAAGUUUAAAGCCGGAUUUGGAUACAAAAAUAUUUCCCAAGCUUUAAACAUCCCAAGGAGCACUGUGCAAGCGAUAAUAUUGAAAUGGAAGGAGUAUCAGACCAAAGUUCAAGGGGGCCGAAUACUUUCGCAAGGCACUGUAUAUGUUGCCCCCCCCCCCACCUCUAUGAUGGCCAAUUCUGUCUCUGUAUUCUUCACAUGAAAGUACACUACCUAAUGGUGAGAUGUGUUGGGAACAAUUGUCUCUCCCAGCUAAUAUGAGAACGGGUAUUAGUGUUGCAGGAAUUAAAUUGCUCUGUUUUAACACCCAAUUAAAAUUAAACACUUAAACACUGUCAAUUCAUAAGGAUUUGUAAGACCCUUAUUCUAUAGUAAUGGACAGAGCCCAGUCUUAAAGUCAAACAGCAGAUUUUAUUCACGAGUACUGAACACAAUACAGUUUACCACCGGGUUAUAAACUGAAAAUGACGUCAUUAGUUUUCGAACUGUCCCGUCUCUUCUCCCAACCUGGUACAAAGGCCGUAUCUCAAGCCUUCCCACAUCGUCUCCCUACCAAUUUAAUAUCAUUUAUGACCGAGCCAAGGUCUUCUUGUGUAGAUAAGCAUUCUAGCCAGUCUGAAGAUAUAGUUCAUUCAUUUCUACCAAGGAACAGACAGUCAUUGUUCUAAUUCUUGAUUAUAUUUACACACAUUAUAUUCAGUACUAGGAUUAAAAAGAAAAUUUGUACAUAUACAGUAACAUAAUAGUAUUCUGAUUAGUACAUAUACAGUAACAUAAUAGUAUUCUGAUUAGUCAGUCCUGAUUGAAAUGUAUACAUAAUUAGUCAUUAUUGAUAAAAAUUCCCUUAACAAUUAGUCCAAUCAGUAUUACGAACAAAUAAUGAAAAAUCUGUAUGGGAGUUUACUUCUCGAAAACAAAAUAUUGCAUUAAUGUUGCCUUGAAUAUGCCAAACCAUAUGGCGUAUGUUUUUCAGUUGAACUGGUAGCAUUUUUUUUUUUUAAUUCAACGCUGUUAUUUCUUGCAUUAUGUGGUGUGAUUUCUCAUGACAUUCUUUAUGGAGAAAUAUUCUACAAAAUGUUUUGAAGGGAUCAGGAAGUGUUAAUCAUUUGUACGUAGAACUGGCAAAUAUCUGAAAUAUUGUUGAUGAUAAACAAAGCAAUCUUAUGCAUUCCUAAUUAAUGACAUAAUUGUGUUCUGGGUUUAUUUUGUAAAUGAGCUUUUAUGGUUAUAUAUUUUUAAAUGUUGAUUGGGAGGAUUAAUGGUGAUUUGUUCAAUAUGUUGUUGAUGUACAACUGUAUUUAAGGAGGUGAGGAAAUUGCUAAUUUUCCCAGCCCUCUCUCUCCUUUUUGCUGCUACUGUACGUGUGUGAAAGUGUUGCCUCAGUAAAUCUCCUACCAACAGGAAACCUAUGUUCUUGUUCUCUUUUUCUUUCUGACAUCUUGGCUAGUAUUAUCUUUGAUCUUGGGUUGACAUUAUUGUCAGAACAGCCUUUAGUCACAGUCUGGUUUAGUCAUACAAUACUUUUAUUAUAGGAAAACUAUCACAUAAACUGAGGUAAAUAUUAGAGUAGCCUAGCUGCUGGCUAAAAGCCAUCAACUGAGCAUCUCCAAUUGGAUAAAGCAAGGUUUAGAAAAGUUAAUGUGGAGAAGCAUUAAGCUGGAAUGACCCACUUGUGUCUUUAAUAUACUUUUUUUCUAUGUGCUUUUAUGGUGGUAUAGGUUAUCAAGGCUAUCAGAUAUCACUCUUGGCGAAAGUGUGUGUGGUUUUAACUCUAUGGAGAGGUCUGUGUCGCCUCUCCCCCGCACAGGGAACCGGACACUGAGAGAGUCUGUAUCUGGGCAGGCAUUUUGGAACAUUACCACACCUCAGUCACAUCAUCCUCUUCUCGCUUCAUUACCAGGGGAACCCAACCUCUCACUCAGGUGGGGGAUUUGCAGCACCAUUGUGUAAAGAGAUCAAAUUCUACUCCUUCAAAGCCUGUAGUGUAGGCUAUUUCUCUGCUGCUUGCAGUUGAAUUUUAUGUUAUCUGGUAUACUGUUUUUAUGGUUUUAUAAUGCUCUUUAAAAUGGCCACCCUGUAAAGUUGUCUUUGUUGGGGUUAAUAUCACUCCCUUCUUGUCAUCUAAAUCUUCAUAUUUUACACAAAACUUUGACUGAUAUUUACAGUUAAAGAAUUUCUACAUGUAUUAUUCUUUCAGUUUGGUAACUCCACUCACCGUUUACUGUCUGUUGAAGGAAACUGUUGUUGGUUAUGCAGUUUUGUGGUGUACUGUGACCUUACUGCUCUUUCACAGUGCUACCAGAGGCAUAGAGGCC
rnacentral:lncRNA from 1 species